rnacentral:rRNA from 1 species
AAAUUGAAGAGUUUGAUCAUGGCUCAGAUUGAACGCUGGCGGCAGGCCUAACACAUGCAAGUCGAACGGUAACAGGAAGAAGCUUGCUUCUUUGCUGACGAGUGGCGGACGGGUGAGUAAUGUCUGGGAAACUGCCUGAUGGAGGGGAUAACUACUGGAAACGGUAGCUAAUACCGCAUAACGUCGCAAGACCAAAGAGGGGGACCUUCGGGCCUCUUGCCAUCGGAUGUGCCCAGAUGGGAUUAGCUAGUAGGUGGGGUAACGGCUCACCUAGGCGACGAUCCCUAGCUGGUCUGAGAGGAUGACCAGCCACACUGGAACUGAGACACGGUCCAGACUCCUACGGGAGGCAGCAGUGGGGAAUAUUGCACAAUGGGCGCAAGCCUGAUGCAGCCAUGCCGCGUGUAUGAAGAAGGCCUUCGGGUUGUAAAGUACUUUCAGCGGGGAGGAAGGGAGUAAAGUUAAUACCUUUGCUCAUUGACGUUACCCGCAGAAGAAGCACCGGCUAACUCCGUGCCAGCAGCCGCGGUAAUACGGAGGGUGCAAGCGUUAAUCGGAAUUACUGGGCGUAAAGCGCACGCAGGCGGUUUGUUAAGUCAGAUGUGAAAUCCCCGGGCUCAACCUGGGAACUGCAUCUGAUACUGGCAAGCUUGAGUCUCGUAGAGGGGGGUAGAAUUCCAGGUGUAGCGGUGAAAUGCGUAGAGAUCUGGAGGAAUACCGGUGGCGAAGGCGGCCCCCUGGACGAAGACUGACGCUCAGGUGCGAAAGCGUGGGGAGCAAACAGGAUUAGAUACCCUGGUAGUCCACGCCGUAAACGAUGUCGACUUGGAGGUUGUGCCCUUGAGGCGUGGCUUCCGGAGCUAACGCGUUAAGUCGACCGCCUGGGGAGUACGGCCGCAAGGUUAAAACUCAAAUGAAUUGACGGGGGCCCGCACAAGCGGUGGAGCAUGUGGUUUAAUUCGAUGCAACGCGAAGAACCUUACCUGGUCUUGACAUCCACGGAAGUUUUCAGAGAUGAGAAUGUGCCUUCGGGAACCGUGAGACAGGUGCUGCAUGGCUGUCGUCAGCUCGUGUUGUGAAAUGUUGGGUUAAGUCCCGCAACGAGCGCAACCCUUAUCCUUUGUUGCCAGCGGUCCGGCCGGGAACUCAAAGGAGACUGCCAGUGAUAAACUGGAGGAAGGUGGGGAUGACGUCAAGUCAUCAUGGCCCUUACGACCAGGGCUACACACGUGCUACAAUGGCGCAUACAAAGAGAAGCGACCUCGCGAGAGCAAGCGGACCUCAUAAAGUGCGUCGUAGUCCGGAUUGGAGUCUGCAACUCGACUCCAUGAAGUCGGAAUCGCUAGUAAUCGUGGAUCAGAAUGCCACGGUGAAUACGUUCCCGGGCCUUGUACACACCGCCCGUCACACCAUGGGAGUGGGUUGCAAAAGAAGUAGGUAGCUUAACCUUCGGGAGGGCGCUUACCACUUUGUGAUUCAUGACUGGGGUGAAGUCGUAACAAGGUAACCGUAGGGGAACCUGCGGUUGGAUCACCUCCUUACCUUAAAGAAGC